UACGUAGGUGGCAAGCGUUUGUCCGGAAUUAUUGGGCGUAAAGCGCGCGCCAGGCGGUCCUUUAAGUCUGAUGUGAAAGCCCACGGCUCAACCGUGGAGGGUCAUUGGAAACUGGGGGACUUGAGUACAGAAGAGGAAAGCGGAAUUCCACGUGUAGCGGUGAAAUGCGUAGAGAUGCGGCGGAACACCGAUGGCGAAGGCAGCCCCCUGGGCUGAGAUUGACGCUCAGGCACGAAAGCGUGGGGAGCAAACAGG
rnacentral:rRNA from 1 species